rnacentral:rRNA from 1 species
AGUCAUGGUUAAGUGGGAAACGAUGUGGGAAGGCACAGACAGCCAGGAUGUUGGCUUAGAAGCAGCCAUCAUUUAAAGAAAGCGUAAUAGCUCACUGGUCGAGUCGGCCUGCGCGGAAGAUGUAACGGGGCUAAACCAUGCACCGAAGCUGCGGCAGCGACACUAUGUGUUGUUGGGUAGGGGAGCGUUCUGUAAGCCUGCGAAGGUGACCUGUGAGGGUUGCUGGAGGUAUCAGAAGUGCGAAUGCUGACAUAAGUAACGAUAAAGCGGGUGAAAAGCCCGCUCGCCGGAAGACCAAGGGUUCCUGUCCAACGUUAAUCGGGGCAGGGUGAGUCGACCCCUAAGGCGAGGCCGAAAGGCGUAGUCGAUGGGAAACAGGUUAAUAUUCCUGUACUUGGUGUUACUGCGAAGGGGGGACGGAGAAGGCUAUGUUAGCCGGGCGACGGUUGUCCCGGUUUAAGCAUGUAGGCUGGUUAUCCAGGCAAAUCCGGAUAAUCAAGGCUGAGGUGUGAUGACGAGGCACUACGGUGCUGAAGUAACAAAUGCCCUGCUUCCAGGAAAAGCCUCUAAGCAUCAGGUAACAUCAAAUCGUACCCCAAACCGACACAGGUGGUCAGGUAGAGAAUACCAAGGCGCUUGAGAGAACUCGGGUGAAGGAACUAGGCAAAAUGGUGCCGUAACUUCGGGAGAAGGCACGCUGGUGUGUAGGUGAAGCCCCUGCGGGUGGAGCUGAGACCAGUCGAAGAUACCAGCUGGCUGCAACUGUUUAUUAAAAACACAGCACUGUGCAAACACGAAAGUGGACGUAUACGGUGUGACGCCUGCCCGGUGCCGGAAGGUUAAUUGAUGGGGUUAUCCGUAAGGAGAAGCUCUUGAUCGAAGCCCCGGUAAACGGCGGCCGUAACUAUAACGGUCCUAAGGUAGCGAAAUUCCUUGUCGGGUAAGUUCCGACCUGCACGAAUGGCGUAAUGAUGGCCAGGCUGUCUCCACCCGAGACUCAGUGAAAUUGAACUCGCUGUGAAGAUGCAGUGUACCCGCGGCAAGACGGAAAGACCCCGUGAACCUUUACUAUAGCUUGACACUGAACAUUGAGCCUUGAUGUGUAGGAUAGGUGGGAGGCUUUGAAGCGUGGACGCCAGUCUGCGUGGAGCCAACCUUGAAAUACCACCCUUUAAUGUUUGAUGUUCUAACGUUGGCCCCUUACCGGGGUUGCGGACAGUGUCUGGUGGGUAGUUUGACUGGGGCGGUCUCCUCCCAAAGCGUAACGGAGGAGCACGAAGGUUAGCUAAUCCUGGUCGGACAUCAGGAGGUUAGUGCAAUGGCAUAAGCUAGCUUGACUGCGAGCGUGACGGCGCGAGCAGGUGCGAAAGCAGGUCAUAGUGAUCCGGUGGUUCUGAAUGGAAGGGCCAUCGCUCAACGGAUAAAAGGUACUCCGGGGAUAACAGGCUGAUACCGCCCAAGAGUUCAUAUCGACGGCGGUGUUUGGCACCUCGAUGUCGGCUCAUCACAUCCUGGGGCUGAAGUAGGUCCCAAGGGUAUGGCUGUUCGCCAUUUAAAGUGGUACGCGAGCUGGGUUUAGAACGUCGUGAGACAGUUCGGUCCCUAUCUGCCGUGGGCGCUGGAGAAUUGAGGGGGGCUGCUCCUAGUACGAGAGGACCGGAGUGGACGCAUCACUGGUGUUCGGGUUGUCAUGCCAAUGGCACUGCCCGGUAGCUAAAUGCGGAAGAGAUAAGUGCUGAAAGCAUCUAAGCACGAAACUUGCCCCGAGAUGAGUUCUCCCUGAGACUUUAAGUCUCCUGAAGGAACGUUGAAGACGACGACGUUGAUAGGCCGGGUGUGUAAGCGCAGCGAUGCGUUGAGCUAACCGGUACUAAUGAACCGUGAGGCUUAACCUU